rnacentral:rRNA from 1 species
UCAAUCUUAGUGGGCGAACGGGUGAGCAACGCGUAAUCAACCUGCCCUUCAGAGGGGGACAUCAGUUGGAAACGACUGCUAAUACCGCAUACGAUCUAAUUCGGCAUCGAGGAAAGAUGAAAGGUGGCCUCUACAUGUAAGCUAUCACUGAAGGAGGGGAUUGCGUCUGAUUAGCUAGUUGGAGGGGUAACGGCCCACCAAGGCGAUGAUCAGUAGCCGGUCUGAGAGGAUGAACGGCCACAUUGGGACUGAGACACGGCCCAGACUCCUACGGGAGGCAGCAGUGGGGAAUCUUCCGCAAUGGACGAAAGUCUGACGGAGCAACGCCGCGUGAGUGAUGACGGCCUUCGGGUUGAAAGCUUGUUAAUC